rnacentral:rRNA from 1 species
GACGAACGCUUGCGGCGUGCCUAAGAAAUGCAAGUCGAGCGAGGUUUAGGCUUCGGCCGACGACCUAGCGGCGAACGGUCGCGUAACACGUAAGCAACCUGCCCUAAAGUUGGGGAUAGCCCGCCGAAAGGCGGAUUAAUACCGAAUGUGGAUAUGUAUUCGCAUGUAUAUAUAUCUGAAGCAGCGAUGCGCUUUAGGAUGGGCUUGCGGCCUAUCAGUUAGUUGGUGUGGGUAACGGCCUACCAAGACGACGACGGGUAGCUGGUCUGAGAGGAUGGUCAGCCGGAUUGGGACUGAGACACGGCCCAGACUCCUACGGGGGGCAGCAAUUAGGAAUCUUGCGCAAUGGGCGAAAGCCUGACGCAGCGACGCCGCGUGACUGAUGAAGUCUUUCGAGAUGUAAAGGUCUUUUGUUGGGGACGAAGGAAGUGACGGUACCCGACGAAUAAGCCCCGGCUAACUACGUGCCAGCAGCCGCGGUAAGAUAGCGUACU